rfam:Pseudoalteromonas citrea DSM 8771 strain NCIMB 1889 contig116, whole genome shotgun sequence.
AAAAUGGCGCUAUUGAGCGCCAUUUUUAUUUUCUGAAGUACGACUU